rnacentral:lncRNA from 1 species
CCUGAGGUGCUCUUCUUCCUCAUAGAACUCCGAAAAAAAGAAUGAAAUGAAAGGAAAAGGAAGCGAAAAGGAAAAAAAUUGAACCUUUCAAUUUUUUCUGCCUUUCCUUUGUUUUCAUCGAUUUUUUCUAUAUUUAUCUCCGAUAUUUCUUCUAUUUUUUUCCAUCCUCAGGCAUCUCAAUUGGGUGGGAGUUGUGAAGCGACCGAAUAGAGAAGCCUAGACGAUGGCGUUUUAUGUUGGUGUUUAUGC